UAAGAGUUAAAAAGGAACUGGAAAAAAGGCCUGACCUUCGAUAUUUCAUCAUUAAUGAAAUGAUGAAGGAGGAAGAAGGCAUUGACAAGAAAAAAGAAAAGGAAGAAAGCAUUGACAAGAAAAAACAAG